rnacentral:lncRNA from 12 species
UCUCUCUACAGGAUGCCAGUUUCUGAGAGGCUCCUGAGCUGGGCUCUGUGUUGGGCUAUCCCUGCUCCACCCCCAGCGCCUACUGGGAUCCAGCCAGCAGCUCCCAAACACUGGCCAUGAUGGACGUGGGCUUGGAAAAAGGAUCCUCACACCACUCUGGAGAUCAGACAGGGAUGGGUUAAAAACUGAAGACAGCUCUCCAGAGCUGCCUGGAGAAAUGGCAUGGCACCUCCUUCCUCCAAGGCAGGAGAGACAUGUUCAGAAGCUUAUGCAAAGUUGUGGAGAAACAAAAUCCUCUGU